AACGAACGCUGGCGGCAUGCCUAACACAUGCAAGUCGAACGAGACCUUCGGGUCUAGUGGCGCACGGGUGCGUAACGCGUGGGAACCUGCCCUUAGGUUCGGAAUAACUCCCCGAAAGGGGUGCUAAUACAGGAUAAUGUCUUCGGACCAAAGAUUUAUCGCCUUUGGAUGGGCCCGCGUUGGAUUAGCUAGUUGGUAGUGUAAAAGCCUACCAAGGCGACGAUCCAUAGCUGGUCUGAGAGGAUGAUCCGCCACACUGGGACUGCGACACGGCCCAGACUCCUACGGGAGGCAGCAGUGGGGAAUAUUGGACACUGGGCGAAAGCCUGAUCCAGCAAUGCCGCGUGAGUGAUGAAGGCCUUAGGGUUGUAAAGCUCUUUUACCCGGGAUGAUAAUGACAGUACCGGGAGAAUAAGCUCCGGCUAACUCCGUG
rnacentral:rRNA from 1 species